rnacentral:misc_RNA from 1 species
GGGCUCUGCAAUGCUUGCUGAAAGGUUAGCACUGCCAUUUCUGCAUCAUAUGUCAUAGUUAUUUAUUACUUUUACUCUAGGUCUUUUCAGUUAUAUUAGACUUCUUGAUUGUAAGUCAACUCUAUUCAAGACCUUUGAGUGUAAUUGGUUCUGUGAUUUCACUUUAUUGGUUGCUUCUACUUCCAAAGUAUAAGAUUUGAUCCUGGUAUACAUUUAAAUAAUAAAUUAACUGUGAUGCUUGUUUAAUGCUUAAUAGUUGUGAAAAUACUAACUCCUAAAUUCUAAUCUGUAAUUUUUAGUUGGGAUGCUGCAUUGGAAAUUGAAAUUUCUUUAAAGGCCUUUUGCACUCUGUUACUAUAUGAAAUGGGAAAAUUUUCCCUCUGAUCUUGAUGAGUUAUGAUCAGUGCAUGAAGGUUAAUUCUCUCCCCGGUUCUAAAGUAUCGUAGUUAGGAAUUUGACUCGGUAUAUAUAUUCGUUUUGUUUGUUAUAUGGUAUACAAGAAAAUUCAUAAAAAUCUUCAACUGCCUCAACAAUACAUGCACCAAACCAAUAUCUGUUUGAGUUUUGUUGCGUUGGCAGCAAUUUCUAUGGAUUGGUUAGCACUAAGUUGAAAAUUUGAGGUUUGGCCCACUUCUCUGCUGGUUAUCUAUCCAAAAUGAGUUGCACAUAUUAAUCUGUUUUUUGACAUUUUACAAGCAAGAGAGGUAAACUAAUCUCAACUACUACAUGAGCACUGGUCCAGAUGUCAACAUUGUCCUAACCAUUGAUUUUGAUAUAGAAACAGAUACUGUUUAAUAAGUAGAUAGCUUUCUUUUGAUAAAAAACACUAGUUGAGGCCAAAGCUUUGUUCUUGUUAACUGACAAUCAGCUUUAUUGUGUUCAGAUAUAGUAGUUUAAACUGAUCAUUACUAAUACUUGCUGCAAUUAUUUUUGCUACAAGCAUAGUAAUGGUAUAGGGUUUUGGUAUGUUAAGGUUCGAGCCUUUGCAUCAAGAAGGCAAAGCAAUUUUUUAAUAGGAUCUUUGAGUUGAAUUUUAUAGUAUCUUUGAGAUGAAUUUUUAUGCUUUGCUCGUGGUAAUAGUUCAUGGAAUUUAAAAUAAGUGCAAUGGCAUUAUAAAACAACUGGGCUUUUUCAAGUCCUUUUUACGUGUUUGUACAUUUAUUAUUUUGGAUUUGGGUUAGUGAAUUUCACUGCCUUUGAGGUAUCAUCAGAGGAAGGAUGUACAAUCAAUGCUCCUGAACAUUACAUAGACAAUAACUUGUAGUGGUGUGUUGUAUGUGUCAUCAAUUGCCUCCCAAAACACCCUGCACUUUGUGCCUGCAAGACAUUCAUGCUACUUGGCAUUCAAUUUUGACUGUUAGUUCAUUGAUUGGUAUCUUUGAAUGUCACUCUUUCAUUUCUCAUUGUAUGUCAUUUAUCUGCAGGAAGUAUCUUCUCUUGUAUCCAUGGCUACAUCUUAAUUAAUUCUUCUUCCUUUGUCUUGCAGACUGGGGAAUGAUGACACCACAACGCACUCAACAUCUGGUCUAUUCACAUGUGCUGUAUGUCAAGUU